UACGGAGGGGGGCUAGCGUUGUUCGGAAUUACUGGGCGUAAAGCGCACGUAGGCGGCUUUGUAAGUUAGAGGUGAAAGCCCGGGGCUCAACUCCGGAAUUGCCUUUAAGACUGCAUCGCUCGAAUUGUGGAGAGGUAAGUGGAAUUCCGAGUGUAGAGGUGAAAUUCGUAGAUAUUCGGAAGAACACCAGUGGCGAAGGCGACUUACUGGACACAUAUUGACGCUGAGGUGCGAAAGCGUGGGGGAGCAAACAGG
rnacentral:rRNA from 1 species